CAGACAGAAGGCAGAGAGGAAAGCCAGCAGCUCGGUGGGGGCAGGCCUGCCGUUUGGGGUGCUCACGGCCGCUCCUCCGCCCCACCAGCGUCCUUUCAGCGCAGCUCCCUCCCUCAGCCUCGGUGGACAGGGCCCAGGACCCAUGAGGGGCCGGCUGGUCACACCCUGUUUUAGCCGCUCCCAGGGAGCUGGGGCGGGGGCAGGGGCAGAAGUUGAACUGGGAGCAGAGAGAAGAGGAAAAGUCGAUCUCCUAACGACGUCUGGCCGGUGUCCCAGCCCCCGCCUGCCUGCAGGAAAUCAGGGGGACUGCUGGCUAGUGCGGGGGCACCUGUGGACAGACUGCCAAGGGCUGGGCUGGUUCUGGAAGUGGGGUGGCCUGGGGCAGGGGCGGUGGGCCUAGACCUCAGCACCGCCUUCUGGGGCCAGGCCCUGAGCCUCCGCACUCUGCCAGCCCUGCUUCCAGAAGGAGUGAGGACAGAGCCGCAGAGUGGUGCUGCCCGCCUGGGCCGGGCUGUGUGUCCUGGGGUGCCGGGAACCACUCCCCUCUCCCCUGAGGGCUGUGAGCCCUGCUCUCAGGCAGAAGGGUGCCUCACUGGCUCCCCAGGAUGUGCUCAAGCGUGAGCGCGGGGCUCGAUCCCCGGGACUAAGGGGGCAGGUCUGAGGACCCCAGACCCUGGCUGGCCUGUUCAGAGCUGAUGUCCAUGGGUGGGGCCAGUGUGGAGUUUCUGAUCAUGUUUCUGCCCCGCACGUGGUGGUUGGACCCCGUUUGGGAGCCCUGCACGCCCUGUGUUGCUUCAGGCUGUCCCCACCUCACCUUUGCAAGCAAGACCCCUCUGCAGGGUAAGAGCAACAACCCCAGCCUUACAUGUCCGGGAGCUGGUUCCACGGAGCCCCGCUUGCCCGCGGGGCCGGCCUGGUUGGGCCCCUGUCCCGACAUCUGUGUCUGAGCCCCUGUAUGUGCGGGUCUGGUCCCGACGUUGGCCGGACCAGCGAUCUUGCUGGAAGACGAGGUCUCAGAGCAGCUCAGGGAUGGAGAGCUGACUGUGAGCCCGUGGCCUGCCGGGUGAGCCGUGAGCCCGUG
rnacentral:lncRNA from 1 species